rnacentral:tRNA from 1 species
GCAGUUUUUUUAAGAGUAGCUAUUUCAAGCCUUUCAGAGUCUUGGAAACUGACUCUUAAUCAGUGGGCCAACGGUUCGAGUCCGUUAAGGUGCACCA